rnacentral:lncRNA from 1 species
GUUUACAAUCCUGAAAAUGUCACUUUCAACUUUCUUCAAAGGCAGAGAUUUUCCCUCUUUCAGAAGGCCAGCUUUUUUGAAAGACAGAAGUGGAAGUUUUGAUAAGAAGUGAUCCAUGUGGUGCUGAUUUGCCAUGAAUAAUUCUGUGUAUAUGGUUGAUGGUGAUUCUGAUGAGGAAAUCUCUACCCAGCAAGCUAUUCAGGAAAGCUUACAAGAUUGGCA